AACGAACGCUGGCGGCGUGCUUAACACAUGCAAGUCGAACGGUAAGGCCCUUCGGGGUACACGAGUGGCGAACGGGUGAGUAACACGUGGGUGAUCUGCCCUGCACUUCGGGAUAAGCCUGGGAAACUGGGUCUAAUACCGGAUAGGACCACUGCCUGCAUGGGUGGUGGUGGAAAGCUUUUGCGGGGUGGGAUGGGCCCGCGGCCUAUAAGCUUGUUGGUGGGGUGAUGGCCUACCAAGGCGACGACGGGUAGCCGGCCUGAGAGGGUGACCGGCCACACUGAGAACGGAAUACGGCCAAGAGUCCUCCGGGAGGAAGAAGUGGGGAAUAUUGCACAAUGGGCGCAAGCCUGAUGCAGCGACGCAGCGUGAGGGAUGAAGGCCUUCGGGUUGUAAACCUCUUUCAGCACCGACGAAGCGCAAGUGACGGUAGGUGCAGAAGAAGGACCGGCCAACUACGUGCCAGCCGCCGCAGUAA
rnacentral:rRNA from 1 species